rnacentral:rRNA from 1 species
GGCGGCGUGCCUAACACAUGCAAGUCGAACGAGAAAGUUGGCUUCGGCCGAUGAGUAAAGUGGCGCACGGGUGAGUAACGCGUGGAUAAUCUGCCCUUUAGUCUGGAAUAACGUACCGAAAGGUGCGCUAAUACCGGAUAAUACUGAAUGACUACUGUCGUUUAGUCAAAGAAGGCUUCUGUUUACAUGCUUUUGCUGAAGGAUGAGUCCGCGUACCAUUAGCUAGUUGGUAGGGUAAUGGCCUACCAAGGCGACGAUGGUUAGCUGGUCUGAGAGGAUGAUCAGCCACACUGGAACUGAGACACGGUCCAGACUCCUACGGGAGGCAGCAGUGAGGAAUAUUGCGCAAUGGGGGCAACCCUGACGCAGCAACGCCGCGUGAGUGAGGAAGGUUUUCGGACCGUAAAGCUCUGUCGAGCGGGAAGAAAUGCAUGGUGGCUAAUAUCCAUCAUGCUUGACGGUACCGCUAAAGGAAGCACCGGCUAACUCCGUG